CCUACGGGAGGCUGCAGUGAGGAAUAUUGGUCAAUGGACGAGAGUCUGAACCAGCCAAGUAGCGUGAAGGAUGACUGCCCUAUGGGUUGUAAACUUCUUUUAUAUGGGAAUAAAAUGUUCCACGUGUGGGAUUUUGUAUGUACCAUAUGAAUAAGGAUCGGCUAACUCCGUGCCAGCAGCCGCGGUAAUACGGAGGAUCCGAGCGUUAUCCGGAUUUAUUGGGUUUAAAGGGCGCGUAGGUGGAUUGUUAAGUCAGUUGUGAAAGUUUGCGGCUCAACCGUAAAAUUGCAGUUGAAACUGGCAGUCGUGAGUACAGUAGAGGUGGGCGGAAUUCGUGGUGUAGCGGUGAAAUGCUUAGAUAUCACGAAGAACUCCGAUUGCGAAGGCAGCUCACUGGACUGCAACUGACACUGAGGCUCGAAAGUGUGGGUAUCAAACAGGAUUAGAUACCCGAGUAGUC
rnacentral:rRNA from 1 species